rnacentral:rRNA from 1 species
AUGAUGGAUGCGCGGCGGUGGCAGUCCCCGGCGGCGGCCGCCGCGGCCGCCGAGGCGGCGGCGGAGGACGCGUCCGGCGGCGGGGGCGGGCCCUCGAGGCGGCCGCUGCGCCGCGGCCUGCAACGCGCGUCGCCCUACGGGCUGGGCCCCCGGCGCUGGCUCCCGAAGCCCCCGGUGGCCUCUAGUGUCUUCGCCGCCGCGUCCCGUGACCACACCGCCGCAGACGAUAAUCGGAUGGGUCGAUAUGAAUCAAUGGAUGCUGCGCAUGAAGCGAGCAGAGUAACACAUGAAAAUAAGUCUAUGAAACCAAAUACCAAUGCUAUAACCAAUGUGGCCCUAACGUUUCCAAGCAAUGUCAACCUGCUGCCUGAUGGUGAUGACAUAAAUCGGAGCGAUGUCAGUGGACUUGCUGAAAUCGAGAAGAUCAUCAAACAGAAGCAAUUUUCUAGGGAUGAAACAGAACGUUUGAUAGAGAUUAUGCGUUUGAGGACUCCUGAUCUCCAUGGCGACGAUCAGAGAGCUACACACUCUUUUGCGAAAGAAACUGAAACUACACCAUUUUCAAACAAACUGGUGAUACCUGCAAAGCCAGAUGAACGAAAUUGGGGGACUGAUAUGUUUGCACAGUCAAAUGUGCAUGAUGCUACUUCACCCAUUGAACUUGCUAGAGCUUAUAUGGAAGCACAGACCUCAGCAAGUGUACAUGAAUCUCAAAAGAGAAAAUUCAGAGCUUUGAGUCAUGGAGUUGAAAUUGAGAAUUCAGCAUCAAAAAUAUUCCCUAAAGUGGCCAUGGACUCUCCUGUGCGCUGGCCAGGUUCAGUUGUCCGAGACCAUACAAACCACUACCUUACACCACAAAGUAAUAAACGAAGAGCUCUUCCUCCUGCAUCCUCUCGGUCACCAUAUACUGGCUCAGUUUUCCGAAGAUCUGUCAAGAGAACAGGACAGCUUGAUACCUAUAGUAACUCAUCUGGGCGGCCACAGCUUUCAACACCUUUUUCCGUUGGAAGUAAGGCUAUGCUAGAGGAUAAAAUGACAUCAAUUGAUGGUGUUCUUGGAGUGCAACCAUCAACCUCUUCUGAAAGAGUACAUGUAGAUGCCGUUGGCACUGAUACUCCACAUACAUUCACCCUAGAAAGACCUCACGGCAAAGGCACCAUAGAAAGCGGUUCGGGUACUGGACGUAUACCAGUGGCAGACAAUAUUUCCAAGCAUGCUGCUGUAUCUGUUCACCCGAAGUCGAGCCAGACAGCUCAGAAAAUACUCCAGCAUCUUGAGAGGACAAUUCCAUCCCCUACAGUAAAGCCAGAGCUAAGGCGAACUGCAAAGAGAACUAUUUCCCCUGUUGUCAUCAGCAGCCCGUAUAAAAUGCCCGACUCCAUCACUAAUAAUGCUCCCAGACAGAACAGCCUCAAUGAGCGUGCCAGUGCUUAUCAGGAAAUUUCAAAUGUGAAGAAGGUUCAGGAACCCCCAAGCAGCUCCAAUUGUGAGGAGCCGGCUCCAAAGGUCCAGAGCCCAGUGGCCACCCCAGAAGUCGCCGCAAUGACCAGCUCGCAGCAUCCUUCAAAACCCGACGUGGCAACUGCACCAGCUGCAGCAGUCUCGGAUAAAAGCGCGACCAAUGGUUUCAUGUUCUCGUUCCCUGUCACCAAAACCUCAGUUUCGCUUCCAGAACCGCCACCCACACCUACUUUCUUCUCACCGCCAAAAAGGAGCCCCCCAGCUGACAUCCAAGAUAUCCCCAAGUUCAACUUUGGCUCAGCAAGCCCUACGGAUAAUCUUGUUUUCUCCGUCGAUUCGGCGAGCGUCUCUGCUGGUGCAGAGGAAGUGGCUCCAACCUUCAAGAUUGGGUCGGACAAGAAGCGAGAACUGUCCUUUGAUGUGGCUGGGAAAGAUGCAGUUGUCUCUUAG